GCGAGAGUGGCGGAAUGGCAGACGCGCUGGACUUAGGAUCCAGUCCGCCUUUGGCGGAUGGGGGUUCAAGUCCCCCCUCUCGCA
rnacentral:tRNA from 1 species